UGGUUGAUCCUGCCAGUAGUCAUAUGCUUGUCUCAAAGAUUAAGCCAUGCAUGUCUAAGUAUAAGCAAUCUAUACCGUGAAACUGCGAAUGGCUCAUUAAAUCAGUUAUCGUUUAUUUGAUAGUACCUUACUACUUGGAUAACCGUGGUAAUUCUAGAGCUAAUACAUGCUAAAAACCUCGACUUCGGAAGGGGUGUAUUUAUUAGAUAAAAAACCAAUGCCCUUCGGGGCUCCUUGGUGAUUCAUAAUAACUUAACGAAUCGCAUGGCCUUGUGCCGGCGAUGGUUCAUUCAAAUUUCUGCCCUAUCAACUUUCGAUUGUAGAGUAGUGGUCUACAAUGGUUUCAACGGGUAACGGGGAAUUAGGGUUCUAUUCCGGAGAGGGAGCCUGAGAAACGGCUACCACAUCCAAGGAAGGCAGCAGGCGCGCAAAUUACCCAAUCCCGACACGGGGAGGUAGUGACAAUAAAUACUGAUACAGGGCUCUUUUGGGUCUUGUAAUUGGAAUGAGUACAAUUUAAAUCCCUUAACGAGGAACAAUUGGAGGGCAAGUCUGGU
rnacentral:rRNA from 1 species